UUUUCGGAUGGAAGAUGAAUUGACUGAGUGGCGGACGGGUGAGUAACGCGUGGGUAACCUGCCUUGUACAGGGGGACAACAGUUAGAAAUGACUGCUAAUACCGCAUAAGCGCACACUUUCGCAUGAAAGAGUGUGAAAAGCCGAGACGGUACAAGAUGGACCCGCGUCUGAUUAGUUAGUUGGUGAGGUAACGGCUCACCAAGGCGAUGACGGGUAGCCGGUCUGAGAGGAUGUCCGGCCACACUGGAACUGAGACACGGUCCAGACACC
rnacentral:rRNA from 1 species